GACGAACGCUGGCGGCGUGCUUAACACAUGCAAGUCGAGCGAUGAAGCUCCUUCGGGAGCGGAUUAGCGGCGGACGGGUGAGUAACACGUGGGUAACCUGCCUCAUAAAGGGGAAUAGCCUUCCGAAAGGAAGAUUAAUACCGCAUAAGAUUGUAGUUUCGCAUGAAACAGCAAUUAAAGGAGUAAUCCGCUAUGAGAUGGACCCGCGUCGCAUUAGCUAGUUGGUGAGGUAACGGCUCACCAAGGCGACGAUGCGUAGCCGACCUGAGAGGGUGAUCGGCCACAUUGGGACUGACACACGGCCCAGACUCCUACGGGAGGCAGCAGUGGGGAAUAUUGCACAAUGGGGGAAACCCUGAUGCAAAAACGCCGCGUGAGUGAUGACGGUCUUCGGAUUGUAAAACUCUGUCUUCAGGGACUAUAAUGACGGUACCUGAGGAGGAAGCCACGGCUAACUACGUCCCACCAGCCGCGGUAAUACGUAGGUGGCAAGCGUUGUCCGGAUUUUCUGGGGGUAAAGGGAGCGUAGGUGGAUAUUUAAUUGGGAUGUGAAAUACUCGGGCUUACCCUGAGUGCUCCAUUCCAAACUGGAUAUCUAGAGUGCAGGAGAGGAAAGUAGAAUUCCUAGUGUAGCGGUGAAAUGCGUAGAGAUUAGGAAGAAUACCAGUGGCGAAGGCGACUUUCUGGACUGUAACUGACACUGAGGCUCGAAAGCGUGGGGAGCAACCAGGAUUAGAUACCCUGGUAGUCCACCCCGUAAACGAUGAAUACUAGGUGUGGGGGUUGUCAUGCCCUCCGUGCCGCCGCUAACGCAUUAAGUAUUCCGCCUGGGGAGUACGGUCGCAAGAUUA
rnacentral:rRNA from 1 species